UUUAGCAAGAGCAGGCGGAACAUUCAUCUUAUCUUUGACAGUGAAAGAAGUCUGAUAAAGGACAAGGGAUUAGACAGAGAGUACAAGAGGCUAUUAAGAAAAUGUGGGUUCACAAGUUGAAGAUGAGUCUCGAAUUGAACGACAUCUCAGAAAACAUUAAGCAAAGAUUGUUUGUGUACAGUGGGGGCAAACAACUGAUAUUUUUAAUCCAUAACAGGUUUCAGGAAAUGGACUGGGUAUCCACAACCCCCUUUGAGAAGGCAGAUGAUCAUGACCUUGAUGUGUGGAAAACAUGCGGGCUGCCUAGAUUCUGAACUGAAGCUCAUCCCGAUAAAACCAGGAAUUCCUCUGUGCUUGCCCCUGGAUCUGUUACUGAAAGAUCCUUUCUUGUAUUUUUAAAUGAAGAUGCAUCCUAAUUCCAAAACAA